UGACCGCUGGCGGCGUGCCUAAUACAUGCACGUCGAGCGACCAGACGAGGAGCUUGCUCCUCUGACGUUAGCGGCGGACGGGUGAGUAACACGUGGAUAACCUACCUAUAAGACUGGGAUAACUUCGGGAAACCGGAGCUAAUACCGGAUAAUAUAUUGAACCGCAUGGUUCAAUAGUGAAAGACGGUUUUGCUGUCACUUAUAGAUGGAUCCGCGCCGCAUUAGCUAGUUGGUAAGGUAACGGCUUACCAAGGCGACGAUGCGUAGCCGACCUGAGAGGGUGAUCGGCCACACUGGAACUGAGACACGGUCCAGACUCCUACGGGAGGCAGCAGUAGGGAAUCUUCCGCAAUGGGCGAAAGCCUGACGGAGCAACGCCGCGUGAGUGAUGAAGGUCUUCGGAUCGUAAAACUCUGUUAUUAGGGAAGAACAAAUGUGUAAGUAACUAUGCACGUCUUGACGGUACCUAAUCAGAAAGCCACGGCUAACUACGUG
rnacentral:rRNA from 1 species